UACAGGGGGGGCAAUCGUUGUUCGGAAUUACUGGGCGUAAAGGGCUCGUAGGCGGCCGGCUAAGUCCGACGUGAAAUCCCCAGGCUUAACCUGGGAACUGCGUCGGAUACUGGCGGGCUUGAAUCCGGGAGAGGGAUGCGGAAUUCCAGGUGUAGCGGUGAAAUGCGUAGAUAUCUGGAGGAACACCGGUGGCGAAGGCGGCGAUCUGGGUAGAUACUGACGCUGAGGUGCGAAAGCGUGGGGAGCAAACAGG
rnacentral:rRNA from 1 species